rnacentral:lncRNA from 1 species
AAUGGAUUGUGCAGAAGACAACACAUACCACUAAAUCAAUUCUAAUUGCAAGUAUUUCUAUUUCUACAGCCUGGCCUGGUAUCAUUUUGGUUAAUCCAGACGUCUGAAAGCUGCUCUAGUAGUCUGAGCAGGUAAAAAGCUUUACUGUGUUCUUUGAGCUAGAGGUGUGUGUGUACAACUGAGACAAAUUACACAGGAGAGCUCAAAAGGAUGAGGGAGGAAGGCUGAGCUCUGCCACAUGACUGACUAAACCUUUCAUUUCUCAGUAGGAUUCCUGCUGAAGUUUUCUCUUGGACAAGGUACCAUGAACACACAUUAUGAGCUUAACAUGAGCCAGGGAUCGUUUCCAUCCCAUACUGUGGAUGGCACCAUCCUGUUAUGAGAGGUGCUGCCACCUCAGCCUCAGGAGGGUUGCCAUCCAUGCUGAGGUGGUCCUCAAGCUGAUCAGCAUCCAGAAGAUUCAGCAGAGCUGGACUGUGGGAAAACUGUGGGAAGGCUUCUUGAGGAACAAGGUGAUAAUGCUGUUAUUUAGAAGCUUUGCAGCUGAACCUAAGAAAUAUAUUUAUGCUACAACAGUGAAUGGAGCAACAGCAAAUUGUCUAAGUAUCUAUACUUAUUUAUACUUCAAGUAUUCUUGAGCCACAGCCAAGGUAUUUGUAUGUUGUGGUCAGGCACUUACCUGUGCCUGCACUUAAUUAACUCACCAGUUAUCUAUUUAUAUUUAAGUUACAGUUAAAAGUUCUAAUCAUUGAACAGGGCUUCACUAGAUAUUAAUUUUCAAGUGGUGUAGACAAAUAGGAGUGGAUUUACAGAGUGAUCUCAGUGACUUUGCACAUAUUUUAGAAGGUAUUUGAUUCAGACUAAUUCUAGGCCAUUUCUGUGGGCCAAACACCCAGGGGUUCAGUUCCUUGUGAUUUCAUCCAGAUCAUGGUGCUCAAGACUCAUUGUGUGAUGUGAACCAAAGCAUAGGAGGUGACCAGUAGUGACCAUAUACACUUCAAAUAUAUUCUAAACUGAAAAAAAACCCCAGGAGAUUUCAUCACUGUGUACCAAAAAUACAAAACACAUUUACAUGAAUGUAAACAUGAAACAAAUUAUGUAAUAUACUCAUGUUUCUGCUCUACUACAUAUCUUUGUACUGAAACACCAAAUGUUGGCCAUAAAGGGAAAGGAAAAUGAAAGAAGUCAGAUCACUUUAAUUUUGAAAAAAGCCAAACUUGGAGAAUGUUGAAUACAAGGAGAAACGGACGUACAGCUAUAAAUAUGGAAUUGCAUUUUUUUCAAAGGAGGUACUUAAAGAAAAAAUUAUCAAACAAGUUAACUAGUGCAGGGCUAUAUUUAUACCUAAGUUUUCAUGGAGAAUGUCUUAUGAAUUGGAUUAUUACAUAUAGUUUUUCUAUAAAAAGUAUAUGUAAUUGCUUUAUGUACCAGAUAUACACCCUUAACCCAGUGUAAGGCCAUACCUUUAUACUUCAAUGGUAGAUUACAUUCAUAACAACAGGACUAAAUUCUGCAGUCUUCAAGCCUUUGUCAAGGAAAUGCAACAGUUUUCAUAUCAUAGUUCUGGAAUUUUAACCCAUGAUUUUUACAAAUAAAAAAAAUAAUUGCAUGAAAAAAUACA